AAUUGGAAACGUAUGUAUUUGCCUGCAUUAUUAAUUGGAAUAACACAUAUUCUAUAUAUGAAGUAAGGUACUUGUAAUAAGCAAACAAGCAAGCAAGGGUUGAAUAAGAAGAUUAGAUUAGUGUCGUGAUGCAUUUCGCAAAGGAAUGGAAAACGGGCUUCGUGCCGAAAAGAACAACGCAACAACCCAAUUAUAAACUGCACGUCUCAGAUGCAGUUGACGGACAAGGGUCUAAGAACGGGUGCCCCUGGACGUUACGGUGUGGGAAACCUUAUCCGUGUGUUGGUGUUAUCUCACUGAUUUUUUAACUUCCGUGAAGGCCUCGUACAUUUUUUAACUUGGUGUCAGCGUAUGAUCGUCAUCAUGUGUUAGACACAUUGCGGCUCUGACAUUUUCUACGUGGGCAGCUCGUUGCUCUUCAAAGAGUUCGAAUGACCUGAAAAAGAUAUACAUGAAGUGCAAGGUAUGCCACCUCGAAUGGUCCGAGCGUCUGAGUGGUUUCGUUGGAACAGCUCCUCGUUCCCGUUCUAUCGCGAUUACAUUUCAUUGAAAUCUGACUUUAUAAACAAUAUCGCAGGAAAAUUAUUGUCCUCCUGUUGAAUUUUUGUACCUGGCGGCAGAUGUGAUAGAGAAGCCAGGGCUUGUGAAGGCAAUGGUGGGAAAUAGAUCACUCGCAAUCCAGGUGAGAGAAAAACUUACUUGAAACACUGGCGAAGACUGCUGGCCGAUGAAUCGUCGCUGCAUUUGGCCUGCUCGACUCUUCGCUGAUGGCAUGCAUCUUCCCUCUACAGAGCGAGCUAUUGAUGCCAGGUGCCACGGGUAAGAAGCAUUAAUGCACCCUUCGUCUCGCUGGUUAUUUUAU
rnacentral:lncRNA from 1 species